rnacentral:rRNA from 1 species
GACAGAGGGUGCAAACGUUGUUCGGAAUGACUGGGCGUAAAGCGCGUGUAGGCAGUUUCGCAAGUCGGGUGUGAAAGCCCUGGGCUCAACCUAGGAAGUGCACUCGAAACUGCGAGACUUGAGUCCUGGAGAGGAAGGCGGAAUUCUCGGUGUAGAGGUGAAAUUCGUAGAUAUCGAGAGGAACACCGGUGGCGAAGGCGGCCUUCUGGACAGUGACUGACGCUGAGACGCGAAAGCGUGGGGAGCAAACAGGG